rnacentral:lncRNA from 1 species
GGUGCGAGUUUUGUCAAAAUCUGCCUGUUUUGCGUAGCAGAAGGACAUUGGUACACAAUCACGGAGGAGUACUACAACAUAUGGCUGCCCUCCGCUCCAGACACGAACUCAUUGGAGCCCUAUUUUCUCACAAAACCUCUCGUUUUAAUCUUAAAUAUUAAAUUAACAAUUUAUAAUUAUGUAACUAAGCAUCUAUUCAUUUUAUAUCCUAUGUCUGUAACUUUUAGAAGCAAUUUCUUGCACUAGAGAAGUGUUAUUUUUAAA